CGCUGGCGGCGUGCCUAACACAUGCAAGUCGAACGGAGUUGUUUCUUCGGAAACAACUUAGUGGCGAACGGGUGAGUAACGCGUGAGGAACCUACCUUUCAGGUGGGGGACAACAGUUGGAAACGACUGCUAAUACCGCAUAACACAUUUGGAGGGGCAUUCCUUUGAAUGUCAAAGAUUUAUUGCUGAAAGAUGGCCUCGCGUCUGAUUAGCUAGUUGGUGAGGUAACGGCUCACCAAGGCGACGAUCAGUAGCCGGUCUGAGAGGAUGAACGGCCACAUUGGGACUGAGAUACCGGCCCAGACUCCUACGGGAGGCAGCAGGUGGGGAAUAUUGGGCAAUGGGGGAAACCCUGACCCAGCAACGCCGCGUGAAGGAAGAAGGCCUUCGGGUUGUAAACUUCUUUUACCAGGGACGAAGAACGUGACGGUACCUGGAGAAAAAGCAACGGCUAACUACGUG
rnacentral:rRNA from 1 species